CUGAUCAGUCCAGAGAUUGCUGUGGCUACCUGGCCUGUCCUUUGUUCCCCCAAACCCUUCUGGUAUUUGUGCAAGAGGGGAAGGGCUCUGUCAACACUGUCACUCCCUCGGUGACCAUCAGGCAUUCCACACCCACUUAAUCCAAGUGGGGUGAAUAGGGCAAAUUGUAUGUCCUGUUUGGCUUUUUUAAGGUGCCAGCUCUUUCCUGACUCAAUUUAUCUAUUUUUUAAAAAUCGCCUAGCCUUCUGCUGUAAUCAGGAGUGUGUGUGUGUGGUGUGUGCGCACACGCGUGCUUGGUCGGUGUCUUGUACCAGGCAGCAUUCGUUCGUUGUGCCAGGCACGGGGGCUGUAGGGCUGGCCCCACCGAGGCUCUGCACGGUGGAGCUGGUGUUCUCUGCAGGAGACAGCGUGGCAGUACUGGGAGAGGUGCUACCACCUGAACACCGUGGGACUCACUACUUGGUCCUUUUGUUUUGCGUGCGGUGCUGUUGCAUAGUAUGGUUGCCCUUGCACUAGAGGAGAGAGACACACUUGAAUCUUUGCUCAUGUUUGAGUCUUUGCUUUCCUUGCUGCUGCUCACACAACCCCCUUCUCUGAGAGUUCUGUCCAUGCCUUGGGUUAGCUUGAUCAUGCCAGCCAAGGCUCCAUGUGAUUCCACGUAGAAGGAACAAGAGCCAGCUGAGAAUAGCACGUGGAAGAAUUGGACUUUUGUCAAAUGAAUAGAUCUUGAUAAAAGCAGAAAUGUUAAGGGAUCGAUUAUAUACAAAGCACUGUUCUAGAUGCUAAGAGGAAUGGUUUUGUUGGCCCAGAACUUAAUAAUCAACUAUAAAAUGUUAUGCUAUGUACCAUCACCAGGAGGAAACAUCCUGGUGACAGACCACCCCUUUCUUUUAAUUCGUAAAAAUCACAAUGACUAGAGACACCAGGCUGUGUUCCGAUGUGUGGGUGGCUGAAUGGGUCCCCCAUUUGGAGUCCCAGCCGCACCUCCUGUGGGGCAGUCUUCGUGGGCAAAGCUUCUCUGGCAGAAUGGAACUACCUCAAGAAUUCUCCCCACUGUGCCAGGGUUCUGAGACAGGGAACUGGCUGGACCUCAGAACCAUCUACAAUGGAACAUUCCUGAACAGGCAAUGCUGGUGCCCCCCCCACACACACCAGCAUGGAGUGAGCAGGAAGCUGUUUGAUCCAUCCCCUGUCCCCCACCACCUGGGCUCAUUAGAGGAGGCUUUGUACCUGGAGCGUCUGCUAUUGGAGCUUCCUCCGUCUCAGGAAAUGAGUGAAUGCGCUUGCUGGGGCCACUUCUGCUGUUUGUGUGAAAUACAGCCUUUCUUCCUGUCCUGUUCACAGCCCCAUCUGUGCUCCAGGACAUCUGGAGGUGCUGGGCCUUGAACAGCCUAGUACCUUGACUCUGAUGCCCUCGGACCCCACCCAUCUCUGCUUCUCAUUCCUAGGACUCUAUGCCAUGCUAUGCCAACCCCACUUCCCACCUCAGGGAUUCUCACUCCAGGAAAACCUGCCCUGCACCACACCUUCAACACCUGGGCCUCAGUUUUCCUUUUUUUUUGCUGUGUUCUUACAGUGUUGUUGUGACGCCAGUUAUUUCCAAAGUGCACAGGACCUGCCUAACACAAAAAUAUUGGCAUCCAUUAUGAAUAAGAAGAAUUUAAUCUUGAACCUAUCACCUUGAUUCAGACUCUACUUCCUCACGAGCGAAGGAAAUCCUAGGAAGCAUAAUACUUAGCGAUAUCUUUAAAGAAAUCACUAGGACAAUUUUACUUUGUCAAAAAAAAAAAAUAGGGGGAGCAUUGUUAUGAUCAUGAUGCCCCUGAAGGCACAGCAGUCAGUGCCUCGUCCUUCAAACAAAUUUUUGGAUUUCUGUUUGGAUUAAGGAAUGAAAGGGACAGUUACUGAAAACUUCUAAGCACUAACACUUUGGUAUAGCUGGAUAUCGUUUUGUUUGGUUUUGACUGAAAAUGUCACCACCAUCCACAGUGGCAGGAAGUAUUAGCUGCGGUCUCCAGUGAGCACAUGGGAGCCCAGAAAAAAGGAACUCACCUCAAAGCCACUUGAUCCCAGGGAGAACUCCGUGUUUGUUAUUGUAAAACUGAAACUCUGUGGCUGAGGGAUCUCUGAAAUAAAAGGGCUCGUUGAACCAUUGCCGAUCCUAGGUCCCUGGGACACCUCUCUGUAACUUCCAGCAGCGAGGCAACAGGUGGGUCCUCUAGAGCUAGAGCCAAGAAUUAUUUUUAUAAUGAACACUGAGUGAAGGAAAGCACAAGUUAUUUAUACCAAACCUAUAUUAUCUCUAAGUACAAGGAGAAGGAAGCUAUGAAGGAGGAGAAGCUUUGGGACUGAAAGAGAUUCCAUAUGGAGAAGUAGUUUUAGUGCCUGGAUCAGCUAGAGUUAACAAUCUAGAAAGUUUACAGUGGGUGGCCCUGGUGGUCGGCCAUAAUGGAAGUUAAGUCUAGAUGUCAACAUGCACUCAGGAAUGUGAAACAGUUUUUGGUUGGUUUCUCCCACAGCACUUAACUCAUUAACUUCCCUUAUGUCUUACUCCCUCCGUACCCUGGCUUGUACAAUUUAAUUUAGGACAGCUAAG
rnacentral:lncRNA from 1 species